CGUAGGGUGCGAGCAUUAAUCGGAAUUACUGGGCGUAAAGCGUGCGCAGGCGGUUUGUUAAGAUAGGCGUGAAAUCCCCGGGCUCAACCUGGGAACUGCGCUUAUGACUGGCAAGCUAGAGUACGGCAGAGGGGGUGGAAUUCCACGUGUAGCAGUGAAAUGCGUAGAGAUGUGGAGGAACACCAAUGGCGAAGGCAGCCCCCUGGGUCGAUACUGACGCUCAUGCACGAAAGCGUGGGUAGCAAACAGGAUUAGAUACCCUGGUAGUCCACGCCCUAAACGAUGUCAACUAGGUGUUGGGAGGGUAAAACCUUUUAGUACCGGAGCUAACGCGUGAAGUUGACCGCCUGGGGAGUACGGCCGCAAGGUUA
rnacentral:rRNA from 1 species